rnacentral:rRNA from 1 species
AACGAACGCUGGCGGCCGGCUUAACACAUGCAAGUCGAACGCCCCGCAAGGGGAGUGGCAGACGGGUGAGUAACGCGUGGGAACAUACCCUUUUCUACGGAAUAGCUCUGGGAAACUGGAAUUAAUACCGUAUACGCCCUACGGGGGAAAGAUUUAUCGGGGAAGGAUUGGCCCGCGUUGGAUUAGCUAGUUGGUGGGGUAAAGGCCUACCAAGGCGACGAUCCAUAGCUGGUCUGAGAGGAUGAUCAGCCACAUUGGGACUGAGACACGGCCCAAACUCCUACGGGAGGCAGCAGUGGGGAAUAUUGGACAAUGGGCGCAAGCCUGAUCCAGCCAUGCCGCGUGAGGGAUGAAGGCCUUAGGGUUGUAAAGCUCUUUCAACGAUGAAGAUAAUGACGGUAGUCGGAGAAGAAGCCCCGGCUAACUUCGGG